UACGUAGGGUGCGAGCGUUGUCCGGAAUUAUUGGGCGUAAAGAGCUCGUAGGCGGUCUGUCGCGUCGAUCGUGAAAACUUGGGGCUUAACCCUGAGCUUGCGGUCGAUACGGGCAUGACUGGAGUUCGGCAGGGGAGACUGGAAUUCCCGGUGUAGUGGUGGAAUGCGUAGAUAUCGGGAGGAACACCAGUGGCGAAGGCGGUUGCCUGGAGCUUUGCUGACGCUGAGGCGCGAAAGCGUGGGGAGCGAUCCGG
rnacentral:rRNA from 1 species